UCUGAAGAGGAAAGCCCCGCGAUCAUCCGGUUUCACCCCUGUUUUCAUCUACUCUUUUCCUCAGCGAAGCCUAUAUGGGUUCCCGAUGUCACAUCGCAGCUACCGCAUUGGAGGGUUAAGAGCCGCUGACAAAUCUCUUUCGGGAAGGGAAGAAGAGUUCCAAACAAAAGAUCUACUACCCUGAGAAGCGGUGAAGUGCUCCUGGGGCCCACCAAGGCCACACAAGUCAAGGAGUGGAUGGCCUUGCCCCAGCUAUGGCUCAGAUCACCUUUGCAGGAUGACAUCUUGUUGGGAGAUGGUCAUCAGAGACAGGGCCAUGGAAGACGCUGUCAGGAGGAGGCACAGAGGAAAGGCUAUGGGAGCACAAAGCAAGAAAGUGGCCUUCUGCAAGCCAGGAAGAGAGGCCUCCCCAGAAACCAACUCUACCAGCACAUUGAUCUUGGACUUUUGGCCUCUAGAACAUUGAGAAAAUAAAAGUCUGCUGUUAAACCACC
ensembl:lncRNA novel transcript